rnacentral:rRNA from 1 species
UACGUAGGGAGCUAGCGUUGUCCGGAAUCAUUGGGCGUAAAGCGCGCGUAGGCGGCCCGGUAAGUCCGCUGUGAAAGUCAAAGGCUCAACCUUUGAAUGUCAGCGGAUACUGCCGGGCUAGAGUCCGGAAGAGGAGAGUGGAAUUCCUGGUGUAGCGGUGAAAUGCGCAGAUAUCAGGAAGAACACCCGUGGCGAAGGCGGCUCUCUGGGACGGUACUGACGCUGAGACGCGAAAGCGUGGGGAGCGAACAGG